rnacentral:sRNA from 1 species
AGCUUGAUGGAUUCCGUGUGUACCAGCACGCCGGGGACGUCCGUUAGGGAGUUUAGGGGCCCCGCGGGGUGCCGGCCGAUUUUGAGGGUGGGGAGGAGGUCGCGUAUCCGGGGCCGGGAGUUGGCUUCGUUCGCGGUGUCUGCCGCCAUGCUCUAGUUACUGGUAUUGUUGGAAAAAGGAGAGGUUAAAGAGGUUCAUAUGAAGAUUUCAAACUUGGUAUCACUGAUUUUGACGAAGGGUAAAAGUAGGUAUUUUAUAACCAGUCUGCAGAAUAGCUCCGGGCUCUGUAACGGUUGGCCCACCUUUCAAAGCAUUCAUGGUUAAGGAUCGGUUUGGAUUGAGCAUGAGUCAUCGAUCCACUUUUCUCUCAUAUCUCAAUGUGCUCAGGGAGCAGCAGGUUUGUGAUUUGCAACGAGAGUAGCAUGGUAGCCAUGAUCCUGGGCAGUCUAUCUAUCCAUCCCAGGCCAGUCAGGGAUCUUAGGCAGAAUGAUUAUCUGAUUCUGUGCUGUGGAG